GGUGGAAAAACCUCAGCGGGUCUAGCAGGAGGCUCCAGGAAGUCUUUCGGAAAGUGGCCCAGGGGCAGGCGGAAGCCGAGCGGUAAACAAACGCGGUGAUGUCACGGGCGCCGCUGACCUGCGGCUGAACCCAGAGCUGUAAAUGACAUGCAAGGUGCCAGCAGCCUCCGGGCCGCGCAGCCUGCAAGCCACACACGCUCCUCCACGCCGGCCUGAGGUUACCCCAGCUGCACACACGGACAGGAUGCUGCAAACGCCACCAGACAUUGCAACAGCAGCCAGUCUGCUGGCCGCAGCGUGAACCGUCCCGACGCCCUCCUCCACCGCCCCCCUGGCGGGCACCGACCCAGCUGGAGCUCCACCUCCCCCCUUUGGAGCAUCCCUGGGCGCUGGCAGCUUCCUCCCACCUGGGGUCAGCCUCUCCACGAGGGACCGGUCCUGUGCCUCCCCAGGGGGCCUCCAAGCCCCAGGGCUGGGCUUCCCGGGUCAGCUUUGGGCUUCCUGCCCCACCACACUGGGGACGUGCCUGUGUUUGCACUCCGCUUUCUGGGAAGCUCAUUUCUCUUCAACGGAGCUGGUGCUGGAGACCCUUUCUCCAGGUGUAAGCAGAUGCCAACGUGUCCCCACCAGCUGCUCCCCCGCCCUUCCUCCACCAAGCAAGGGGCCACCCUUUAUUCCAGGGAGCUGUCGGGACAGCCCUGGACUGCAAACCCUUGGCAGCGCCCCGUGUCUGAACUGCCCUUAGUAAUGGAAAGCAGCCUGCCUGGGGCCGGGCAGGCCAGCACUCAGCUCUGGAGUUGAUUUGCUGUGUGACUUUUGGAUGAGUCACUUGGCGUCUCUGAGCUUCACCAUCCCCCCCUGGGGAAGUGGAGAGAAUCCAAAGUGUCCUCCCUAGGCUAGUGUGGGAAGGUCACAAGUGCAAGAAACCCUCUCCAGGGUCCACGGGGUAGUUAGAAGCCUUAGGUGCAGCGCCUGGAACAGUGAGAACGGAGAGGUGUGCGGAGAAACCAAGGCAGGCCCUCUCCUCACCCACUUGCUUCCCAGACUUGGCCUUCUGGGUUCACUGUGAGAAGCCGGGGCUGUGGAGACAUGCAAGUUCUCAAAGGGCUGUGUACCUGAGCUACUGGCCCACUUUAGAGAUGAGGCACUGAGGUCCUGGAAAUGUCAAGGGCACGUCCUGGAAAUGUCAAGGGCACGGCCAGGAACCAGCUGAGCUGGGACCCAAGCCUGGCAAUACUCCAGGAGCUGCUGGCGGAGGUGAGAAUACAGCUGUUGUUUUGGGAAAGGAAAGACAGGCUUGUAUCAGGGUAGCUCCUUCAGCAUCCCCUUCCUACCCCAACCUGAUUUUGGAGGUCCCUGAGCUGGUGUGUCGCAGGGAGCCCCUCAACUAAUUAAGCAUAAUUUAUGGACUGGCCUCCCAAGGACAAGCUUUAAAUUGCUUGCAAGUGGUGCCUGAGUAACUAUCUAUCUAUCCUACAGCUAUUAAUUAGGAAUUGGUUUAAUCUCUGCUAGACGAAGGUCAGACGCCACGGAGUUGACCCUUCUGGCUGGCUGGUGGCUGUCCUCCGGCUCUUAAGCUGGGGAUCUGGGCCCAGAGGGCUGAGGGGUUCUGGGAAGGCGACGGGGGGUUGCAAUGGGAAAUGGCCUGAUCAGCACAUCCUGCAAAGGCCGGGAUGCUGGGAGCCAACCGGCAUGGGCCUCGGCCCAGGAAGCUGGGGCAGGUGGGGUUUCCCCUUAGCACCAGCCCUGUAGAGAGUGAUGUCAUGGUCCAGAGAGAGGCCCCUCCCUCCCCCAUCUCUCCUCUAACAGGCUUCCCUCCCCUUCCGUUCCGCCAGUCUGGUCAUGCAUCCUGUGAAAAUCCUUCUUUGGCUCCCGAGUGCUUUCCCAGUCAAGUCCAAACUCCACCCCAUGGCCGACAAGCUCUGUGAGGUCUGGCCCUGCCUGUCUCCCACCACUCCUCACUGACACUUCAGUUCUGCCCAGCCCAAGCCCUCUGGGAUUCCUCAAAGGGGCCAAACUCUCUCAUCUCCCAUUUUCCAGACCCGCUCUUCCCCACUGUCUGGGAUAUUUUCCUCUGGCUCCCACCUCAUCCUUGAUGCCUCUCCUUAGACCCUAGCCCUCGCCACUGUCAGCCUUCCUUCCCCAGAAGCUAGACUGCCUGGAUUCAACUUCCAUGACUCUGGGGGUGCUGUGUGAUGUUAGGCAAGUAUUUAACCUCUCUGAGCCUUAGUUUUCUCAUUUUUAAAAUGGGGUCAGGGGCCGGCCGAGUGGCGUGUUGGUUAA